rnacentral:rRNA from 1 species
GGAGGGUCCAAGCGUUGUCCGGAUUUAUUGGGUGUAAAGGGUGUGUAGGCGGGCUUGUAAGUCAGAGGUGAAAUCCUACGGCUCAACCGUAGAACUGCCUUUGAAACUGCAGGUCUUGAGUCCUGGAGAGGUUGUUAGAAUUCGUGGUGUAGCGGUGAAAUGCGUAGAUAUCACGAGGAAUACCGGUUACGAAGGUUGACAACUGGACAGGUACUGACGCUGAGGCACGAAAGCGUGGGGAGCAAACAGGAUUAGAUACCCUGGUAGUCCACGCCGUAAACGAUGAUCACUCGGUGUCGCGGAGCAAUCUGCGGUGCCUAAGCUAACGCAUUAAGUGAUCCACCUGGGGAGUACGAUCGCAAGGUUG